rnacentral:misc_RNA from 1 species
GAUGAAGAACGUAGCGAAAUGCGAUAAGUAAUGUGAAUUGCAGAAUUCAGUGAAUCAUCGAAUCUUUGAACGCACAUUGCGCCCCCUGGUAUUCCGGGGGGCAUGCCUGUCCGAGCGUCAUUACAACCCUCAAGCUCAGCUUGGUGUUGGGCCCCGCCGCCCCGGCGGGCCCUAAAGUCAGUGGCGGUGCCGUCCGGCUCCGAGCGUAGUAAUUCUUCUCGCUCUGGAGGUCCGGUCGUGUGCUCGCCAGUAACCCCCAAUUUUUUUCAGGUUGACCUCGGAUCAGGUAGGGAUACCCGCUGAACUUAAGCAUAUCAAUAAGCGGAGGA